GUGCCAGCCGCCGCGGUAAAACCAGCACCUCAAGUGGUCAGGAUGAUUAUUGGGCCUAAAGCAUCCGUAGCCGGCUCUGUAAGUUUUCGGUUAAAUCUGUACGCUUAACGUACAGGCUGCUGGGAAUACUGCAAGGCUAGGGAGUGGGAGAGGUAGACGGUACUCGGGAGGAAGUGGUAAAAUGCUUUGAUCUCUCGAUGACCACCUGUGGCGAAGGCGGUCUACCAGAACACGUCCGACGGUGAGGGAUGAAAGCUGGGGGAGCAAACCGGAUUAGAUACCCGGGUAGUCUCAGCUGUAAACUAUGCAAACUCAGUGAUGCAUUGGCUUGUGGCCAGUGCAGUGUUGCAGGGAAGCCGUUAAGUUUGCCGCCUGGGAAGUACGUACGCAAGUAUGAAACUUAAAGGAAUUGGCGGGGGAGCACCACAAGGGGUGAAGCCUGCGGUUCAAUUGGAGUCAACGCCAGAAAUCUUACCCGGAGAGACAGCAGAAUGAAGGUCAAGCUGAAGACUUUACCAGGCAAGCUGAGAGGUGGUGCAUGGCCGUCGCCAGCUCGUGCCGUGAGAUGUCCUGUUAAGUCAGGUAACGAGCGAGAUCCCUGCCUCUAGUUGCCACCAUUACUCUCAGGAGUAGUGGGGCGAAUUAGCGGGACCGCCGCAGUUAAUGCGGAGGAAGGAAGGGGCCACGGCAGGUCAGUAUGCCCCGAAACUCUGGGGCCACACGCGGGCUGCAAUGGUAAUGACAAUGUGUUCCGAAUCCGAAAGGAAGAGGUAAUCCUCAAACAUUACCACAGUUAUGACUGAGGGCUGCAACUCGCCCUCACGAAUAUGGAAUCCCUAGUAACUGCGUGUCAUUAUCGCGCGGUGAAUACGUCCCUGCUCCU
rnacentral:rRNA from 1 species